UACUUGGAUAACUGUGGUAAUUCUAGAGCUAAUACAUGCACGACGAGCGCAGUUAUUAGACAAAACCAAUUUUGGUGGAUCUGAAUAACUCACAGUCUUCGUACUGGCGACGAAUCUUUCAAGUGUMUGCCUUAUCAGCUGUCGAUGGUAGUCUACGUGGCUACCAUGGCUGUAACGGGUAACGGAGAAUAAGGGUUCGACUCCGGAGAGGGAGCCUGAGAAACGGCUACCACAUCCAAGGAAGGCAGCAGGCGCGCAAAUUACCCACUCUCGGCGAGGAGGUAGUGACGAAAAAUAACGAGGUGGUUCUCAUACUAUCGGAAUGGGUACAAUUUAAACCCUUUAACGAGGACCUAUGAGAGGGCAAGUCUGGUGCCAGCAGCCGCGGUAAUUCCAGCUCUCAAGGUGUAUAUCGCCAUUGCUGCGGUUAAAAAGCUCGUAGUUGGAUCUACUUUGGAGUGGGAUCACCCAAGUGGUGUUUUGCUGGUCACCCUUACGCCUUUAAUCGGGUGCUUUGGGUGGCUAGUGAGUUUACUUUGAAAAAAUUAGAGUGCUCAAGACAGGCUUUUCGCCUGAAUAGUGGYGCAUGGAAUAAUAGAAUAGGAGGUCCAUUUUAUUGGUUUUGGUCCCGAGAUAAUGGUUAAGAGGGACAGACGGGGGCAUUCGUAUCGCUGCGUGAGAGG
rnacentral:rRNA from 1 species